CCUUACCACACGGAGUACUGGGAAAUGAGCACUGCAGUUGACUGAAGCAUAAUCCACAGCAAAAUCACAUUACAGUAGUCGCCCUUCACCUCUCAAAGCGAAAUGGCAUGACUCAAACAGAGACUAAAAGACGAUGAAUAAAAGUCUUCCCUCUACUAACGGUAGAGAGACAGGUUCAACCGAAAGAACCAGGUGAGAAAGGGCCAGAGGCAGGCGAUCCAGCCUUGGCGGGGCUAAGGAAGCUAGGCAAAGACCUGCAGGCCAUUCGCCUCUAGGUGGCCCUGCACGUGGAUGGGAAUGAGAUGCCCUAGGACUGGAUGCAGGUGGGAUACAUCAUCGACCGGCUGCUGUUCGGCAUCUAGUGCCUC
rnacentral:lncRNA from 1 species